UAGGGAAUCUUCCGCAAUGNNCNNAAGUCGGACGGAGCAACGCCGCGUGAGUGAUGAAGGUUNUCGGAUCGUAAAACUCUGUUGUUAGGGAAGAACAAGUACCGUUCGAAUAGGGCGGUACCUUGACGGUACCUAACCAGAAAGCCACGGCUAACUACGUGCCAGCAGCCGCGGUAAUACGUAGGUGGCAAGCGUUGUCCGGAAUUAUUGGGCGUAAAGCGCGCGCAGGCGGUUUCUUAAGUCUGAUGUGAAAGCCCCCGGCUCAACCGGGGAGGGUCAUUGGAAACUGGGGAACUUGAGUGCAGAAGAGGAGAGUGGAAUUCCACGUGUAGCGGUGAAAUGCGUAGAGAUGUGGAGGAACACCAGUGGCGAAGGCGACUCUCUGGUCUGUAACUGACGCUGAGGCGCGAAAGCGUGGGGAGCGAACAGGAUUAGAUACCCUGGUAGUCCACGCCGUAAACGAUGAGUGCUAAGUGUUAGAGGGUUUCCGCCCUUUAGUGCUGCAGCAAACGCAUUAAGCAUCUCCGCCUGGGGAUGUACGGUCGCAAGACUG
rnacentral:rRNA from 1 species